CCCGGACUGCGCUCCGUGACCUUCGACGGUCCCCUUAAGGGGAACUAAGGUACCAAUUUGAGGAUUUCGUGCAAAGAGAAAUCCUGAUGUGGAAUGCUCCCUGCAAAGGGAGAUUUGAUGUAAGACGCCGCCUUGGGGCAACGGUCCAGGUCGAGUGGGACUCGGAAAUCACGUUUGGGCGGUUCUCCUCUAUAUGUUUCUCUUUUUCUUUUUUGAGCAUCCCUUUGCUGUUUCCUUUUAUGGUUUAUGUUUUAUGUGUGACUUCCAGCUGAUGAGGUGAAGGUUUGUUUUGAUUUGAGCGUGCUAAUAUCAAAUGUCUGUUACCAACUGCUCGAGCCAAAAUGGGAAGCGCUUCCUCUAAGGUUCCACCCACCUGGGAACACUCAGGGAAAAUUUUAAAUGACUGGUCCACCUAUAGCCAUGAUCCAAUGACAAAGGAAAUGGCCUGAAAAUGGGUCUCCUACAAUUAGAUCUUUAUGGCCACGGGAUGGGAAAAAUGGACUGAGGUUCCCUUAUGUUCAGGACUUUAUGCCCCUUUUAUUAUAAUCCUGCUGUAGGUGGCCCUAGAAGCCUGAGGAAUCAGAAAAGAAAAGAAAAGAAAAGAAAAGAAAAGAAAAGAAACGAAACUCUCCUGACAUUCUAAAGGAUCCUCUUCUAACUUCUCCCAACUCUCAGGGGAGUGGGAAGGUUUCCCCAGUCCUGCAAGUUCCCUCACCCCCAGAUUCUUCUGAUCAAACUAAGACCGCACCUCCCCAGAAGGACAAUCCCUGCUGGGACAAGUUUAUCAGCCAGUCUGCUCCUGUUAUCAGAGCCAAUUUGAGCACUCUCUGGUUUAAAUUUUAGCUGUGCAACCAUGACCACAGAAAAGAGAAAGAUGAUUUUUGACAGUAUGGCCACAAUAUUCUUCAGACUCUGGAGAAAACUGGUUACAAUAAAGCUUUUCUUAAAAUUGCAAAACCAGUCCUUUUUGCAUGUACAGUUAGAAAAAGCUAGCUUGUUAAAAUAUUUUUCUCCAAAAUUCUGACGCUGAGAGAACAAAAAUAUGCCUAGGACAAAGCUUGACGUUAACUGUUACCAUGUCCUUGAGCUACAAAGCCCACUUUGCCUGAGACUUCAGCCUUGGGUUAAUUAGUAGAACUUCAAGCCAAGAAAAAAAAAAAAGAGGCAAAGAGACAUUUUAAAUCUGAAGUGGAAACUAUGAGAUCUCUGUCUGUCUGGAUACCUGUGUAUGUCUCAGUAUAUGUUUCUGUCUUUGGAUAAUAUUGCUGAGGAUAAUUUGUAAAUGAGCUCUAUAUAAUUGGCUUAAAAGAAAAGCACUUACAAAUCAAACAAUUCUAAAUACAAGAAAAAUUAAAUAAAUUUCAGGUUCACGUGACCUGGGAAUUAUUCAAUAUUAAUUAUUAAUGUUUGUUAAUCUAAUUAAUAUAGACAUGUCUUUAGAGCCAUCAACAUUAAGGAUAAUACUUUUAUUGUGCCUAGGUUUAAUAUAAACUAAAUAAGAUCUUAUUAUAUCUGUUACAAAUUUGUCAGCAAUGAAAAUAACUCGAUGUGAAGAAACUUUUAAGAAAAAAAAAUCGCAAAUGAGAUAAGAGCUUUGGGUGAACUUUUUAGGAAUACUUACGUUUUAGGAAUAUUUACUUAAGAAUGAUCUCUCCAGAUAUCUGACAACUUGAAAGUUUAGAGUUGUGCUAAAUUAAGUUAAAGGAUGCAAGUUAUUAAAUAACUAGGCCAUUUCCAAAUAAAAUAAGAUACUGAAACAUGAAUUACGGAACCUCGGCUUCCUCGUACAGAGAAACAAAAGGUUUAGAACUAUUAAAAAAUGUGUUUGGUGCCACACUGAGAUAUUUUCUAUAAGAAAGCACAUUCUUUAAAUAUCAUUUGGAUGUACGUUUACCGGUCUACAGAGUGCUGACAUAAAGGACAGUUCAUGGUUGCUUAAGGAAAGUAGGAUGUGUGUUUUUAGUAAAGAAGGUAUGAGCAAUGGAAUUGCAUUUUAUUAAGGGAAAAGGAAGCAGGUCUGAUUCACAGGUGGCUGUUUCUGAAUGGGAAAAUAAAGUGAUGGAUACAGAAAGUGAUAAAAAAGGUUUGUGGAAAGUGGACCCUGAGAAAAGAGUUUUACGCAUGGUACAAGUUUUCUUAAGGUGUUGAACUGCCUUGGAUGACAGAUUUUAAGCUUCUUUACCUUUUAAGUGAUCAGUUCGAUAUUUGCCUUUAAAUCUUUUAUUGUCCUUUGGGUAAGUGAAAAGCAAUCGUUUCACAGCGAUGUAUGAUCUUCUCUGACUGAGUGUUCUAAACCCUUUUGUGUUUUUGAUAAAACUUCCCAAAUCAAAUUGUAAUGAAGUUUCUUUGACCUCUAGCUAACUUUGGGGUGCUUCAAACGGCCUCUGAAACAUCCCAAAGAGAGAUGUUACACUAAUUAGGUUCAUUUGGUAUGUUAAAAUUACACGGGAAGUGUUGUCAAAUGUGUAAUAAAUCUUCUUAGGUUAUAUUGUAUGGUAAUUGUUACUAAUAUAGAUAUUCUAGAAAUCAUAUGGAGUUUCAAAAAUAUUCUGAUGUCCUGGUAAAAUGUUAUCAGUCAUAAUUCUAGUUAUUAUCUUAAGCAUCAUAUGUCACAACAGUAACCAAGUUACCUUGUAAAUUACAUUGUAAUCAGAGUUUUAAACUUGCCAUAAGUCUUUUGUCAUUAGAGACACAGUUUCACUCUGAAGCUUUUGCAAAGAUGCUGCUUCUUCAAGAAGAUUUAUAAGAAGAACUUUUGGAUAAAUACAAGUUUCUGACUUUCAGACCAUAAUGCUAAACUGGAUAUAAAGAAGCUCUUCUCCUCAAGCUACUUAUGGUUUACAACAAUUUGGUAAUUUACACCUACGGGUAAAAUUAAAACAUUUAUCUUUUCUCUCUAUUUGCUCCCUCCACAGAUUGGAAACUCUUAGGUCCCCAGCACCUUUAUCAGAUAAAUUAGGAAGUCUACCUCACUAAUAGGUACAGAAAUCUCAAGGUAUGUUCGGGACCUUGAAAAGGGAGGAAUUCACCUAUAUCUGAUCAGAUACCCCACGACCUACAACCAGGGGAUUAUACAUACUGGAAAAGACAUAAUUUAAAGGACUAUCUCCAGACUGGAUGGAAGGACCCUUAUCAGGUACUCUUAACUAGCUCGUACACAGUAAAACUAAAGGGAAUUAACUCUUGGGUUAAUUUCCACUCACAAAGGGCCCCUGCACUGGACUGGCCUAUAGAGAGGAUGGCUGACCUCAAAAUCACCUUAAAACAAUGCUCAAACAGAGGAGAAACUACACUCACGCGAGGAUGAGAAAAAGACAACAUCAGAAGUAGACAGCUUCCCCAAGAUCCUGGACCUGACUCAUACGCUCAUUUAUAAGGUUUUCUUGACUUCUUGGACCUUUGCAUAUGAAUCAAAUGUUUUUCUGUCAUAG